CCUACGGGGGGCUGCAGUGAGGAAUUUUGCGCAAUGGCCGCAAGGCUGACGCAGCAACGCCGCGUGGGUGAUGAAGGCCUUCGGGUCGUAAAGCCCUGUCAGGUGGGAAGAAAGGUUUCAAGGAGCAACACUUGGGAUUUGACGGUACCACCAGAGGAAGCACCGACUAACUCCGUGCCAGCCGCCGCGGUAAUACGGAGGGUGCGGGCGUUAUUCGGAUGUAGUGGGCGUAAAGCGCGUGUAGGGGGGGCCCUGGGCUUAACCUGGGAAGUGCAUUGGAAACUGUUUUUCUUGAGUACUGGAGAGGAAGGGGGAAUUCCCGGUGUAGAGGUGAAAUUCGUAGAGAUCGGGAGGAAUACCAGUGGCGUAGGCGCCCUUCUGGACGGUAACUGACGCUGAGACGCGAAAGCGUGGGGAGCAAACAGGAUUAGAUACCCCAGUAGUC
rnacentral:rRNA from 1 species